rnacentral:rRNA from 1 species
UACGUAGGUGGCAAGCGUUGUCCGGAAUUAUUGGGCGUAAAGGGCGCGUAGGCGGCCGUGCAAGUGGAAGGUGAAAUCCCUCGGCUCAACCGAGGAACUGCCUUUCAAACUGCAUGGCUUGAGUCCGGGAGAGGUGAGUGGAAUUCCCAGUGUAGCGGUGAAAUGCGUAGAUAUUGGGAGGAACACCAGUGGCGAAGGCGGCUCACUGGACCGGAACUGACGCUGAGGCGCGAAAGCGUGGGGAGCAAACGGG